UAGUCCGAGUUGUAGUUUAAAGAAGCGUUUUCGGUGGCAGUCUCGGUAUAAAUCCUUUGGAAUAGGGUAUCAUAGAGGGUGAGAAUCCCGUCUUUGACUGAGAAUAUGCUACUAUGUGAUACGUUUUCAAAGAGUCGAGUUGUUUGGGAAUGCAGCUCAAAAUGGGUGGUAAAUUUCAUCUAAAGCUAAAUAUUGGCGAGAGACCGAUAGCGAACAAGUACCGUGAGGGAAAGAUGAAAAGAACUUUGAAAAGAGAGUUAAACAGUGCGUGAAAUUGUUGAAAGGGAAACGCUUGAAACCAGUCAUGCGGUUGGGAAAUCAGUCUCUGACGGGGGGGAAUGGGGGAGUUGUGGACCGCAAGGCCGCUCUUUUUCAUAUUCUUCUCGGCAGGGAUGCACUUUUUCUUCUGCAGGUCAACAUCAGUUUGCUUUGCCGGACAAAACUCUUGGGAAGGUGACAGCUUAGGCUGUGUUAUAGCCCUCGAGCGAUACGGUGGAGCGGACUGAGGUUUUCGCAGCAUGUGCUCUCGGGCAAGGCUGAUUGGGUGCUAUGAGAUCGUUCAGGGUACAAUACAUGUAUUUUGCCUUGUGUCUUUUUUAUACUCGCUCAACUCGGCUCUUCCAUGCUUAGGAUGUUGACAUAAUGGUUUUAAUCGACCCGUCUUGAAACACGGACCAAGGAGUCUAACAUAUAUGCAAGUGUUUGGGUGGCAAACCCAUGCGCGUAAUGAAAGUGAACGUAGGUGCGAUCCGCAAGGUGCAGCAUCGACCGAUCUUGAUAUUUUUGGAUAGAUUUGAGUAAGAGCAUAUAUGCUGGGACCCGAAA
rnacentral:rRNA from 1 species